GACGAACGCUGGCGGCGUGCUUAAUACAUGCAAGUCGACUGAACUUAAGGUAGCAAUAUUUUAAGGGAGGUGGCGCACGGGUGAGUAACACGUAGGUAAUCUGCCUUUAGGACUGACAUAACCCAGAGAAAUCUGGGCUAAUAUCAGAUGAUGCAGCGGCUCGACAUCGAGACAGUUGUUAAACCUUCGGGGCCUAGAGAUGAGCCUGCGUCUGAUUAGGUAGUUGGCGGGGUAAUGGCCCACCAAGCCAUCGAUCAGUAGCUGGUCUGAGAGGAUGAUCAGCCACACUGGAACUGAGACACGGUCCAGACUCCUACGGGAGGCAGCAGUAAGGAAUAUUGCUCAAUGGCCGAAAGGCUGAAGCAGCAACGCCGCGUGGAGGAUGAAAUACUUUUGUAUGUAAACUCCUGUGAGAAGGGAAAAUAUGCAGAUUUUCUGCGUUGAUUGUACCUUCAGAGGAAGCCCCGG
rnacentral:rRNA from 1 species